rnacentral:misc_RNA from 1 species
AACUUUCAGCAACGGAUCUCUUGGCUCUCCCAUCGAUGAAGAACGCAGCGAAAUGCGAUAAGUAAUGUGAAUUGCCGAAUUCAGUGAAUCAUCGAAUCUUUGAACGCACCUUGCGCCCUUUGGUAUUCCGAAGGGCAUGCCUGUUUGAGUGUCGUUAAAUUCUCAACCUUGAACCAGUUUUGCGACUGGGUCAAGGCUUGUAUGUGAGGGCUUUGCUGGCUUCCUUUAGUGGAUUGUCUGCUCCCUUUAAAUGGAUUAGUGGGAUCGCUUGUGGACGGUCAUUUGGUGUGAUAAUUAUCUACGCCUUGUUGACUGUGAAGCAUAACUUGUGGGACCCUGCUUAUAUCCGUCCUUCGGGACAAUUUAUUGACGAUUUUACCUCUAAUCAGCUAGGAUUGCCGGCUGAACUUAAGUAUAUCAAUAAGGGGAGGCU